CUUGGUGACACCGUGGACGGCAGUGGGGUCGAGCCCCUGGUGGCGCUUGGCUCGGCGCAGGUUCGCCUUAAAGACGCCGAACCUGUAGUCGUGCUCCUCUUGAGUCGCGUAGGUCUUUCCGAACGUAGCUUUGAAGCUGGAGAAGUGGCGCUCGGCGUGGAGGAGUAGAUUGUCGUUGGCUUCCGGUACGACUUGUUGGAUCAGAGGGUCAGCGUCGUUAGGAGUUACGGUGGACGCGAGUGCAGAGGUCAGGAGAGAAAGGAAGAGGAGGAGGGGGACGAGAGUGGUGGGGCGAUCCAUUGCUAGUGUGUGUGAAUGUGAGGAGCGU
rnacentral:lncRNA from 1 species